rnacentral:rRNA from 1 species
GACGAACGCUGGCGGCGUGCUUAACACAUGCAAGUCGAGCGGUAAGGCCCUUUCGGGGGUACACGAGCGGCGAACGGGUGAGUAACACGUGGGUGACCUGCCCUCAGCUCUGGGAUAAGCCUGGGAAACCGGGUCUAAUACCGGGAUAUGACUCCAUGACGCAUGUUGUGGGGUGGAAAGCCUUGUGCGGCUGAGGAUGGGCCCGCGGCCUAUCAGCUUGUUGGUGGGGUGAUGGCCUACCAAGGCGACGACGGGUAGCCGGCCUGAGAGGGCGACCGGCCACACUGGGACUGAGACACGGCCCAGACUCCUACGGGAGGCAGCAGUGGGGAAUCUUGCGCAAUGGGCGAAAGCCUGACGCAGCGACGCCGCGUGAGGGAUGACGGCCU